rnacentral:rRNA from 1 species
UGGGGAAUAUUGGACAAUGGGGGCAACCCUGAUCCAGCAAUGCCGCGUGUGUGAAGAAGGCCUUCGGGUUGUAAAGCACUUUUAUCGGGAACGAAACAUUGUCGGCCAAUACCCGGCAAGACUGACGGUACCCGAGGAAUAAGCACCGGCUAACUCCGUGCCAGCAGCCGCGGUAAUACGGAGGGUGCAAGCGUUAAUCGGAAUUACUGGGCGUAAAGCGUGCGCAGGCGGUUUGUUAAGUCUGCUGUGAAAUCCCCGAGCUCAACUUGGGAAUUGCAGUGGAUACCGGCAAGCUGGAGUACGGUAGAGGAAGGUGGAAUUCCCGGUGUAGCAGUGAAAUGCGUAGAGAUCGGGAGGAACACCAGUGGCGAAGGCGGCCUUCUGGACCAGUACUGACGCUCAUGCACGAAAGCGUGGGGAGCAAACA